GCGCCUGUGGCGGAAUUGGUAGACGCGCAAGGUUGAGGGCCUUGUCCGGGGUAUCCCGGGUGGAGGUUCGAGUCCUCUCGGGCGCA
rnacentral:tRNA from 1 species